GAAAUGCGAUAAGUAGUGUGAAUUGCAGAAUUCAGUGAAUCAUCGAAUCUUUGAACGCACAUUGCGCCCCGUGGUAUUCCAUGGGGCAUGCCUGUUCGAGCGUCAUUUGUACCCUCAAGCUCUGCUUGGUGUUGGGUGUUUGUCCCGUCUCCGCGCGUGGACUCGCCCCAAAGUGAUUGGCAGCCGGCGUACUGGUCCCGGAGCGCAGCACAUGUCGCGCAAACGAGUGCCUUGGUACGGCGGCGUCCAUAAGCCCCUCUCUCACGCUCUUGACCUCGGAUCAGGUAGGGAUACCCGCUGAACUUAAGC
rnacentral:misc_RNA from 1 species